rnacentral:rRNA from 1 species
AACGAACGCUGGCGGCAUGCCUAACACAUGCAAGUCGAACGAAGGCUUCGGCCUCAGUGGCGCACGGGUGCGUAACGCGUGGGAAUCUGCCCUUUGGUUCGGAAUAACAGCUGGAAACGGCUGCUAAUACCGGAUGAUGACGAAAGUCCAAAGAUUUAUCGCCAGAGGAUGAGCCCGCGUUGGAUUAGGUAGUUGGUGGGGUAAAGGCCUACCAAGCCGACGAUCCAUAGCUGGUCUGAGAGGAUGAUCAGCCACACUGGGACUGAGACACGGCCCAGACUCCUACGGGAGGCAGCAGUGGGGAAUAUUGGACAAUGGGCGCAAGCCUGAUCCAGCAAUGCCGCGUGAGUGAUGAAGGCCCUAGGGUUGUAAAGCUCUUUUACCCGGGAAGAUAAUGACUGUACCGGGAGAAUAAGCCCCGGCUAACUCCGUG